AUUGAACGCUGGCGGCAUGCCUUACACAUGCAAGUCGAACGGCAGCACGGGAGCAAUCCUGGUGGCGAGUGGCGAACGGGUGAGUAAUAUAUCGGAACGUGCCCGGUCGUGGGGGAUAACGUAGCGAAAGCUACGCUAAUACCGCAUACGAUCUACGGAUGAAAGCGGGGGAUCGCAAGACCUCGCGCGAUUGGAGCGGCCGAUAUCAGAUUAGGUAGUUGGUGAGGUAAAGGCUCACCAAGCCGACGAUCUGUAGCUGGUCUGAGAGGACGACCAGCCACACUGGGACUGAGACACGGCCCAGACUCCUACGGGAGGCAGCAGUGGGGAAUUUUGGACAAUGGGCGCAAGACCUGAUCCAGCAAUAGCCGCGU
rnacentral:rRNA from 1 species